rnacentral:rRNA from 1 species
GGGCCCGCACAAGCAGUGGAGCAUGUGGUUUAAUUCGACGCUACGCGAAGAACCUUACCAGGACUUGACAUAGAAUUUAAAGCUUUAGAAAUAGAGUCAUAAUAAAUUCAUACAGGUGGUGCAUGGUUGUCGUCAGCUCGUGUCGUGAGAUGUUGGGUUAAGUCCCGCAACGAGCGCAACCCUUAUCCUUAGUUGCCAUCAUUAAGUUGGGAACUCUAGGGAGACUGCCGAUGUAAAUCGGAGGAAGGUGGGGAUGACGUCAAAUCAUCAUGCCCUUUAUGUCCUGGGCGACACACGUGCUACAAUGGUCGGUACAAAGAGACGCAAGACCGCAAGGUGGAGCAAAUCUCAUAAAGCCGAUCUCAGUUCGGAUUGAAGUCUGCAACUCGACUUCAUGAAGCUGGAAUUGCUAGUAAUCGCGAAUCAGCCAUGUCGCGGUGAAUACGUUCCCGGGCCUU